GCGUUGAUGGUGUAAUAGUUAGCAUUGCUGCCUUCCAAGCAGUAGAUCUGGGUUCGAUUCCCGGUCAACGCA
rnacentral:tRNA from 1 species